CACACACACACACACACGCUCCUGUAUUUCAUAGCUGCAGCUGUGUGUGACAUUUUCCAGGAAUUUGAAGGGGAUUUAUUGCGUCUGAUGAGCUGCUCCUGACCUCCCAGUGAUGUCUUUUCAUAUGUCGUGCCGCAGUGACAGUUUACUGGAUUACAGCAGGAGGUAGCAGUAGAAAGUCUGAGACAACUGAGGAGGAACGCUGCUUUGAAGCAUUAUCACACGAUGUUGCUCUGAAGUCAAAGAAGCUUCAGCUGCUGAGGAUCCAGGUAGCUACAGGAGGUCUGUGCUGCAGAGCCACACUCUUCUGUGGGGUCAGAGUGGGACUGUCAUCCAUCUUCAACAGAAUUACUGCAAUAUUCCCUG